rnacentral:rRNA from 1 species
UGUGGAAUAUUGGUCAAUGGACGCAAGUCUGAACCAGCCAAGUAGCGUGCAGGAUGACGGCCCUAUGGGUUGUAAACUGCUUUUAUAUGGGGAUAAAGUGGGGAACGUGUUCCCUUUUGCAUGUACCAUACGAAUAAGGACCGGCUAAUUCCGUGCCAGCAGCCGCGGUAAUACGGAAGGUCCAGGCGUUAUCCGGAUUUAUUGGGUUUAAAGGGAGCGUAGGCUGUUUGUUAAGCGUGUUGUGAAAUGUAAGAGCUCAACUUUUAGAUUGCAGCGCGAACUGGCAGACUUGAGUGCGCACAACGUAGGCGGAAUUCAUGGUGUAGCGGUGAAAUGCUUAGAUAUCAUGACGAACUCCGAUUGCGAAGGCAGCUUACGGGAGCGCAACUGACGCUAAAGCUCGAAGGUGCGGGUAUCGAACAGG